GUCUUUUUGAUUAUAAUUUAAAGUCUGACCUGCCCAAUGAGGAGUUAAAUGGCCGCGGUAAUUUGACCGUGCAAAGGUAGCAUAAUCAUUAGUUUUUUAAUUGGAAGCUGGAAUGAAUGGUCGGACGAGGGAAUAACUGUCUCAAUUUAAUUGAUUUAGAAUUUUAUUUUUAAGUAAAAAAGCUUAAAUAUUUUUAAAAGACGAGAAGACCCUAUAGAGUUUUACAUAAUCUAUAAUAUGGAAAUAUAAGUAUUUAAUUAUUUAUAGUAUAGUUUGUGUUUUGUUGGGGUGACAGGAAAAUUAGAUAAACUUUUUUUUUAUUUUAUCAUUGAUAUAUGAAUAUAUGAUCCGUUUAUAGCGAUUAAAAGAUUAAAUUACCUUAGGGAUAACAGCGUAAUUUUUUUUGAGAGUUCUAAUCGAAAAAAGAGUUUGCGACCUCGAUGUUGGAUUAAAAUUAAUUUUUGGUGAAGAAGCUAAAAUAUUAGGUCUGUUCGACCUUUGAAAUUUUACA
rnacentral:rRNA from 1 species